rnacentral:rRNA from 1 species
GAUGAACGCUGGCGGCGUGCUUAACACAUGCAAGUCGAACGGAAAGGCCCAAGCUUGCUUGGGUACUCGAGUGGCGAACGGGUGAGUAACACGUGGGUGAUCUGCCCUGCACUUCGGGAUAAGCCUGGGAAACUGGGUCUAAUACCGGAUAGGACCACUCCUUGGAUGUUGUGGUGGAAAGUUUUUUCGGUGUGGGAUGAGCUCGCGGCCUAUCAGCUUGUUGGUGGGGUAAUGGCCUAACAAGGCGUCGACGGGUAGCCGGCCUGAGAGGGUGUACGGCCACAAUGGGGCUGAGAUACGACCCAGACGCCGACAGGAGACAGCAGUGGGGAAUAAGGCACAAUGGGCGGAAACCUGGUGCAGCGACGCCGCGUAGGAGAAGACGGCCUUCGGGUUGUAAACUCCUUUCGCUAGGGACGAAGCGUUUUGUGACGGGACCUGGAGAAGAAGCACCGGCUAACUACGUG